GUUUGAUCUCAGACCGCCGUGCUAGCAAUCAGCGAGACUCCAUGGGUGUAGGACCCCCCAUUCCCAGCCAGAUGUGGGAUAUAAUCUCGUGGUGCGCCGUUUUUUAAGCUCGUGGGAAAUGCGCAGUAUUUGGGUGGGAGUGACCCGAUUUUCCAGGUGCGUCCGUCACCCCUUUAUUUGACUAGGAAAGGGAACUCCGUGACCCCUUGCGCUUCCUGAGUGAGGCAAUGCCUCGCCCUGCUUCGGCUCACGCACGGUGCACGCACCCACUGACCUGCGCCCACUGUCUGGCACUCCGUAGUGAGAUGAACCCGGUACCUCAGGUGGAAAUGAAGAAAUCACCCGUCUUCUGCGUCGCUCAGGCUGGGAGCUGUAGACCGGAGCUGUUCCUAUUCGGCCAUCUUGGCUCCUCCCCGUGACUUUCAAAUAAAACUCCUAGUCUAAAGCUGCGAUGGUGACCAAAAUUUUCACAAAGACUGACUCCCUGUUUCUAGCAUGCAACUUCAUGGAUAAGUGCUGUAAUGACAAGGACCAGAGAGUAUGCUUUCAUUAUACUUCUCAAUCUCUUUUCCUGCCGAGACAGCUGGACAUUUUUACUGGGGGAAGAGGAAAGAAGAAAGACUUCCACAAUACUUUGCACAUUGUAAAUUCUCAACGUGUUUGUUGAACAAAUGUAAAAUAUUUGCAGUUCCUCAAGUAAAUGCCUUAUUUCCCAUGUCCUAUAUCAUAAUGCACAUUCAUGUUAAUGAAUAUAUUAUAAGUGCAUGUGUAUAAUACAAAAAUGUUUCAUUUCACUAGAAUUUGAGACUUCAGACAGUAGCUGAUUAUCCUGAGUGUAAACUUGCAGGGAAUAAGGGUUUGGUGGUAAGUUGUACAGUAGAAUGAUAUUUUUGUGUACUGAAAAAGAAGAGAUAAUUUCAACACUUCGUAUCAUUGUGAAAAAGCAUGGCUGUGGGAGCCAUGUUAAAGCUGUGCAGGAAGUACAAGGGAAGGAAAAUCAAAUAGGAAAAAAG
rnacentral:lncRNA from 10 species